UGCUGUGGCCUCAGGCUUUGAUUAUUAGGACACUGAAUCAUGAGUUAAUGCCAUUAAGGGAGGUGAGAGAGGUGAGAGAGGUGAGGGAGGUAGGUUUGAAGAUAUGAUAUCCACAGGCCAGGUGUAGGGAGGUGUUUACUCUCCUUUUCCCAGGCGCCAGUAGCCUUGAUCACCCCACUUGUUUUGUCCCUUAUAUUCAGUGUGAAGCCUUUCUCUUCAGUGCAUUACUUUGCGGGUUGCCAGUGCAUAU